AUCUACCUCCUAGAAAGCUCUUGGAAGGAACAGGAGACAUGUAACUAGAAUUCUGAAAUCUCAGUUAAAGGAACAGAGAGACUGUGUGCUUCCGGAACAAUGGUGGUUGCCAUGGUAAUGCUGUUUCUGGGUGGAUAAAGCUGGCUGGCGGGUGCUCAUCAAUGCCCACUUGGAGGAAUGUAUUUACUGGCACAGGCAGAGAGGUCUGCACAGGUUGCAGUCCCCACCACAAACAUAGCCACUACAUCGAGAGAGGACACAUCCCAGUGAGAACAUGCUGCUCUGAGCCUUCAACCCAGCUGUGUUCAUCCAGAGGCAGUGGAAACCAAACUACCUUGGAGGAGCAGGAAGCCCCAGCAUAUCAAAUACCCUGUGAUUUGGCCACCUGA
rnacentral:lncRNA from 1 species